rnacentral:rRNA from 1 species
UACAGAGGUCUCAAGCGUUGUUCGGAUUCAUUGGGCGUAAAGGGUGCGUAGGCGGCGCGGUAAGUCGGGUGUGAAAUCUCGGAGCUUAACUCCGAAACUGCAUUCGAUACUGCCGUGCUUGAGGACUGGAGAGGAGACUGGAAUUUACGGUGUAGCGGUGAAAUGCGUAGAUAUCGUAAGGAAGACCAGUGGCGAAGGCGGGUCUCUGGACAGGUCCUGACGCUGAGACGCGAAAGCGUGGGGAGCAAACAGG